rnacentral:rRNA from 1 species
UACAGAGGGCUCAAGCGUUGUUCGGAUUCAUUGGGCGUAAAGGGUGCGUAGGUGGCGGGGUAAGUCAGGUGUGAAAUCUCGGAGCUCAACUCCGAAACUGCACUUGAUACUGCCUUGCUAGAGUACUGGAGAGGAGAUUGGAAUUUACGGUGUAGCAGUGAAAUGCGUAGAUAUCGUAAGGAAGACCAGUGGCGAAGGCGAAUCUCUGGACAGUUACUGACACUGAGGCACGAAGGCCAGGGGAGCAAACAGG